rnacentral:lncRNA from 1 species
UCUGCCUUACCUACCUAAUUCCCCUUUAGUUUCUUUUCAAGCAAGUUCAUUUUUAUACAAGUCUGAACUUAUCUUGUUCACUGAAAGUUUUUCAGGGUGGGGGGCGGCGGGGGGAGGGGUGUAGGGGGUAGGGUGGCAUGAAGCGUAGAAAAGAAAUGAAAAAUUGGAAAUAUCAGUAAAAAACUUCAUGAAUUUUCACGAGGCUGUUCAAUAUUUCAUAUUUUUCAGGGGCAAGAGUAUGCAACCCCACUGAAACACACAAAAAUGGAAGAAAGUAAACAUUUUAACUAUUUGCGAAACAUGAGUAGGAACCCGUAUUUUUCAAUAUCUUUCAUAAAUUUCUGAAAUUUCAUGGAAUAUUUCAUGUGAAAUUUCAAGAUUUUAUUUUUCAUGAAAUUUUGCGCGCCAUCCUGGUGGGGGAGCAGUAGGUACCGGCAAACCAAGAAAUUUCCUAACUCAUCAAAAUCUAUGAAGGCAAUGUAAGGAAUUGAUGUUUUAUCCAUUCCAAAAAAAAAAUCUCAAGAUUGUAGGAUUUUUUAAUGAAUCAUGAACCUUGAUUGCAGGGGAAAAAAGAAAAAAGUUCCGGAAACUUUCCGAGUGCGCUGCCUUUCUUCUUUUUUCUUUAUUUUACUUGUUUUUUUUUCAUUAAUUUCUUAUUAAUAAUUUUUUUGACGAACAGCUGCGAUUCAGGUAAGAAGCCAAUUUUUGUGCAAACCAGCCUUUUUUCACAAUUUUUUUCGAAGUAAGUGACAAAAUUACGAAUUUGAUGGUUUUGAAAGUUUUGUGAAAUGAUGUGAUUUUAAAGUUUUUUCACUAAAAACAUGGGAAACAAGGCAAAAUCUGGAAGAAGAAGGAAGAAAUUCAAUCCAAAGCAGAAGCAUGGAAACCCAGACUUGAGCUCCUUGGCUUUGUUACAAGGCUCUCAAUGUUUUCAUAAUGAGGAUUCAGACAUGGAAUGGUCAGACUCUUCAGCAUCACAAACUUGGUGGUCUACAAAUUGGUCUACAAGAUGGAAGCAUGUCGUGCGUGUCACAAGUAUCUGGUUGUGACACUUCUUUUCAAAUCAACAAACUGCAGACUGAGAUACUCGUCCACGAGCAAAGAUUUUCUUUGAGUGGUGUGAUUCGAUACAAAAAUGAUUCGGCACACUAUGUGGCAUAUGUUCGGAAAAUGGAUGGACAUUGGGAAAUACAUGAUGACCUAAAGGAUGAGCCCCAGCUCAACCCAUCAACAAGCAAACACAUAAAUCUUAUCUUCUAAUUAUACUGAAAUAUGGAAUGAGCUGGAAUCAUGAGUUGAAAGUUCGUUGUCACCUUCUUGUUUCAUUCGUUCAUCAGCACAUUUUCGUUUCACAGGAAAAACACUGGCACUUCAAUCUGCCCAAUUUUCGAAAUCCUUCUACUGUUGUAAUUGUAGACAUGUAUUAUGUAUUAUUGUAUUUGUAUUAUGUGUGUUUGAGAUUUCGUAGAUACAGUUGUAAAUACAGCAAUAAAAGUAUUCCUUUUUUUAAAACACUUUUUUGAAGGACAAAAUUGUCAAGACAAAUCGUACAAAUUCCUUCGAACUGAACAUAACCUAUAAUCAAAAUAACAACACCAAUAGGCAAGUUCUAGUAGCAACAGCCGCCAUUCGGUGGUCAGCAAUCUCCAGUGUUGCACAACAGCGGUCACCGCUUAUGAAAAAAACGCCCCUCAAGAGCCUCUGAGAAGUUUUGAAACUUUCAGCCGUACUUUCUCUGCGCUUGUAAGUCUGAUUGUCAAUAUUUUUGGCUCAAAAAAUCAAGCAGAAAAUAAUCUAGAUCUUGUGGAUCUGCUUUUUGGAAUUUGAACAAUAUUAUCUCAGUAAUCGUCGAAGGAAAGUGAAAUUCUCAGUGGCGACUGGUGGCGCUAUCUCUAAUCUUGAAAUAUCCCUAAUCGAACCCUGGAUUCACCUUAACGCUUAUUCCCUGUUCCCACUCCCCGGGGAGGGGGAAGUAGGGUGGCUAACCGCAUUCGACCCCCGCGGCAACUAACUUGG